rnacentral:rRNA from 1 species
GACGAAAGUCUGACGGAGCAACGCCGCGUGAGUGAAGAAGGUUUUCGGAUCGUAAAGCUCUGUCUUCAGGGACGAAUGUGCUUAAUGUGAAUAAUGUUAAGUAAUGACGGUACCUGAGGAGGAAGCCACGGCUAACUACGUGCCAGCAGCCGCGGUAAUACGUAGGUGGCAAGCGUUGUCCGGAAUUAUUGGGCGUAAAGCGCGCGCAGGCGGGAAUGUAAGUCUGUCUUAAAAGUUCGGGGCUCAACCCCGUGAUGGGAUGGAAACUACAUUUCCUGAGUGCAGGAGAGGAAAGUGGAAUUCCUAGUGUAGCGGUGAAAUGCGUAGAUAUUAGGAGGAACACCAGUGGCGAAGGCGACUUUCUGGACUGUGUCUGACGCUGAGGCGCGAAAGCCAGGGGAGUGAACGGGAUUAGAUACCCCGGUAAUCCUGGCCGUAAACGAUGGGUACUAGGUGUAGGAGGUAUCGACCCCUUCUGUGCCGGAGUUAACGCAAUAAGUACCCCGCCUGGGGAGUA